rnacentral:rRNA from 1 species
GACAGGGGUGGCAAGCGUUGUUCGGAGUGACUGGGCGUAAAGGGUCUGUAGGUGGUUUUUCAAGUCUUUGGUAAAAGGCUGUGGCUUAACCAUAGUUUCGCCAAGGAGACUGGGAGACUCGAGGCUGGGAGAGGGAAGCGGAAUUUCUGGUGUAGCGGUGAAAUGCGUAGAUAUCAGAAGGAAGGCCGGUGGCGAAGGCGGCUUCCUGGAACAGUCCUGACACUGAGAGACGAAAGCGUGGGGAGCAAACAGG